rnacentral:rRNA from 1 species
UACGAAGGGUGCAAGCGUUACUCGGAAUUACUGGGCGUAAAGCGUGCGUAGGUGGUUUGUUAAGUCUGCUGUGAAAGCCCCGGGCUCAACCUGGGAAUGGCAGUGGAUACUGGCAAGCUAGAGUGCGGUAGAGGGGUGUGGAAUUCCCGGUGUAGCGGUGAAAUGCGUAGAUAUCGGAAGGAACACCUGUGGCGAAAGCGGCUCACUGGACCAUUACUGACGCUGAGGCACGAAAGCUAGGGGAGCAAACAGG